UGGCUCUCGCAUCGAUGAAGAACGCAGCGAAAUGCGAUAAGUAAUGUGAAUUGCAGAAUUCAGUGAAUCAUCGAAUCUUUGAACGCACCUUGCGCUCCUUGGUAUUCCGAGGAGCAUGCCUGUUUGAGUGUCUUGAAGUCAUCAACCCAUCCGGUUUUUCGAAGCCUGGGAAGGUUGGAUAUGGGGGCCUGCUGCCGCGAGGCUGCUCCCCUCAAAUGUGUCGGUUGGACCUGUGGGUCAAACUCGUCGGGCGUUGUAUCAACCUCGCUCUGACGUGGACAUUCCCCUUUAGCCGUCCUCCCUCGACUCGCCCGUUAGUGCGGCAGUCAACAUUUUUGAAAUCUGACCUCAAAUCAGGUAGGACUACCCGCUGA
rnacentral:misc_RNA from 1 species